GUAGACCAGAAGUUACAAGAAUUCUUAAGUCUGAAACAGGGGAACAGAUCAGUGGCUGAGUAUGAAAGGGAAUUCUCCCGCCUAAGCCAUUAUGCAGUAAGUCUACUUUCUACCAGUAGGGAGAGAUGUAAGAGGUUUGAAACCGGCUUGAAGCCUAGUAUCAGAUUACAAGUGGUCGGAUUCAAACAUAACAACUUCUCUGAACUUAUUUCUCAAGCACUAGAAUUAGAAAGAAUUGAAUCUGAAGCGGCUCUUGAGAAAAAGAAAUCAGAGAAGGCAGAAAAAGAGGGAAAGUCAGCAGAACAGAGUUCUAGUGGUCCUACUGGAAAGAGGAAAAACUUUGGGGGAUACGACAGAGAUAGUAAGAAGUCCGGUAGAGAUAGAUCUUUUGGACAGAAACCACCUCGAUCCGAUCAGCGAACUCAACAGAAACCCAGAAAUGCGCUGUCAGAUCGACUUUGUGAAACUUGUGGUAAACCACAUAGUGGGGUAUGUUAUAGAGCCGUAGGAGCAUGCUUUAAUUGUGGAGAGACUGGUCAUUUUGCUAAGGAUUGUGUAAAUCCAGGUCGUUCUGGAUCAUUUACUACACCAAAGGGAUCAACCCAAGUUUCUACCCCAAAGAGUUCACCAUCAGUUAGUAAAGGCAGAGGUAGAGGUAGGAGUAGUACACCUAGAAGUCAGAGUGCUGUGAAUCAGUCAGAACAGGAUG
rnacentral:misc_RNA from 1 species